AAUCAACGCUGGCGGCGUGCCUCAGACAUGCAAGUCGAACGAUUAAAGCUCUCUUCGGAGAGUGUAUAGAGUGGCGCACGGGUGAGUAACACGUAAGUAAUCUACCCUCGAGUGGGGAAUAACGUCCGGAAACGGACGCUAAUACCGCAUAAUGCAGCGGCACCGCAAGGUGACAGUUGUUAAAGAUUUAUCGCUUGAGGAGGAGCUUGCGGCAGAUUAGCUAGUUGGUAAGGUAAUGGCUUACCAAGGCUACGAUCUGUAACCGGUCUAAGAGGACGGUCGGUCACACUGACACUGAAUAACGGGUCAGACUCCUACGGGAGGCAGCAGUCGGGAAUUUUGGGCAAUGGGCGAAAGCCUGACCCAGCAACGCCGCGUGAAGGAUGAAGUAUUUCGGUAUGUAAACUUCGAAAGAAUAGGAAGAAUAAAUGACGGUACUAUUUAUAAGGUCCGGCUAACUACGUGCCAGCCGCCGCAGUAAGAC
rnacentral:rRNA from 1 species